GAAACGAACAAUUUCAAUGAAAUCUUUCAAUUUCUCAUUUUAUUAUGUUCAACUUUAUGCAUUCCUCUAUCCGUAUAAUACAUUGAAUAUACAAAAAUGGCUAUAACCGAGUUUCUGUUGUUCGUAUUAACAACCACUCUAGGGAGAAUGUUUUUAUGUGGUGCUAAUGAUUUAAUAACUAUCCUUGUAGCUCCAAAAUGUUUCAGUUUAUGUUUCUCUGGAUAUACCAAGAAAGAACUAUGGUCUAAUGAGGCUACUAUGAAAUUUUUACACAUGGGUGGGAGCUCUUCUAUUCUGGUUCAUGGAUUCUCUUGGUUGUAUGGUUCAUCCGGGUGGUUAGGGGGGGGGAUCGAGCUUCAAGAAAUUGUGAGUGGUCUUAUCAAUACACAAAUGUAUAACUCCCCAGGAAUUUCAGUUGCGCUUAUAUCCAUCAUUGUAGGACUUGGGUUCAAGCUUUCCUCAAUCCCUUUUCGUCAAUGGACUCCUGAUGUCUACGAAGGAGUGUGGUUCGCUCGACAAAUACCUGCCUCUAUAUCUAUCUCUGAGGUGUUUGGGUUUACAAAACUCCAUAGACAUGCAGAAGAGAAAUGUUAUCCCCACUCCGACCCAGAUAUAACUUUUACCAAAAGUUUACUAUGA
rnacentral:rRNA from 1 species